GUCGAACUGACGGGAACGGCCAUGCUGUCGAGAAGUGAACUGGCACCACUGCGAUUCAGAAGUGCUCUGAAAAGGACUUUUCUGACUUGAAUACAUAUAUUAGUACAUAUAUUAGCAGGAGUUGGGGCGCUCACCCAGGACACACUAUGGUGCUUCAGCCAAGUGAAAGGCACCAUCGAGAUUGGAGCCACAGAAGGAGCCAAGGGAGAACCCAAGACAGAGAAUAGUGGCACAAUAAUGAAGCAUGAAUUAUCCAGAUGAAAGCACCUAUGGAAAU
rnacentral:lncRNA from 1 species